UUUUGCUACUGUUAUGAAUCGUAAUGUAAAUAUCUGAUAUGCAGGAUGUAUUUUCAUUGUUCGCAAUCCACAGGUUGAGAACUGCUGUAAGGGUCAAGGGUUUGAUUCCCGGUCAAAAGCACACACCUCUAUUGCAGGCUUGAUCCCCGGCCCCAGUCGGGGCAUGUGCGUAAGGCCACCAAAUAUGUGUCUCUCUCAUAUCUGUAUCUCUUUCCUCCCUUCCACUCUCUCUAAAAAUAUCAAUGGAAAAGAGUUGUGUUAUAAAGAGUUCUUUGUGUUAUUAAACUUUUCUUAUAACAUAAUCUUUAAUAGCUGUCUACUAUUAGAUCUUCUAAAUAGGCAAUAAUUUUUAUCCUUUCCCUUGUUAGAUAUCCAAACUCUUUUCAGUUUUUCAACUGGUAUAAAUAGUACUCUAUGUGUUUAUACUUGAGGAUAUAAUAUAAGUACUUGCACUUGAAGAUAAAAUUGUAAUUGUUUCUUUAGGGUAAAUUUCCAGAAAUGGAAUUAUUAUAUUAGUGAGUAUGAAUAUUAUUCAUACUUUUGUUACAUUUUGCCAAACAUCCCUACAGAAUGGUUGUACCAAUUGUCAGUGCCAGUUGUCAUUAAUUCUAUAGGAUUACUCACUUCUCUUCAAGGCACAUAACUUUAAAUUUAUUAUGGGUUUUACUUUGCUAAAAAAUUGUUUUAUUGGUUUUUAUAAAGUGAAAAAUUAUUCCUGAUUUGUUCCUUUCUAUAAACUGUGUGCACAUAUUAUGCUUACGUUAACAAGAGUCACAUGGAAAUAUGGUUGCAUAAGCAAAAUAGUGGAAUGAGUAGGAGCUUUAGUUUAUUUACUUCAAUUAUUAUGCUUUCAUUUCAGUACUAAGAAUACAUAGAAAAUAUUUAUAUUCCACUUUAGAAAACAGAAGGUACUUUAGAAUAUGUUUUAUGUUUAUUUCCUCCCCUCUUAAAAAAACUACUUUAUUGAGAUAUAAUUUAUUGAACUUCUGCUUUACUUUGUAUCAUUGAAAUUUUUAUCAAUGAAGUUUUUAAAUGAGUCUGAAUAUCUUAGAAAUGAAAUAAGAUAUGGUCUUAACAGUGUUUAGUCAGCUACUAUUGAUGUAAAACGGGCGGGUAUGUAUUCAUCGUUGUCAGUGUACGUGAAGAGUGGAGCACACAUUGUCGAAACUAUGUGCAGUCCCUGCCACACCUCGCAGAAGGUCAUAGGAAGCCUGUAACUUUGCUGAGCCGCAGUUUCCUUUGGCAAAAAGUAAGAAACGACUACCUACAUGGUGGUUGUGAAGGUUAAUUGAAUUAUUUAAAGAACCUCCGACCUGUCAUGCCCUCAUUUAAAGGAGGCAACCAUUGGCUAUUUUUAAAGUGUGGAUUACCAAUAAGUCUAUGAAGGACUAUUAAUUUCGACAUUGGUUACACUCCUUCAUUUAUUUGCAGGUAACUCUAACAAGAAUGAAAUUUAAAUCAUUUACUUACAAACAAGGCAUUAUAUGAAGGUAAUUUUAAUUAGAUUUUAAAAUUAGGCUAAUUUCAAAAAUUAUUUUAGACCAUAGUCUCUUCAGGCUGGCCAAGUAAUAUAAAUUCCUGAGUUAUCAAAUAUUUACCCUUUGUAAUUAAGCUUUACACUGACACCUGGUGUAACCCACUGCUUUAGUUGAUUGGAUCAGCAGCUCUAGAAAUCAUAAUGUCCUUUUACAAACAUUACCUGUUGCCUAUGGUAAAGUAGUUGGCAUAAUGAGCAAGUUUGGGCCUAAGAAAGAUUUGGAAAUCAUUCUGAAAAUGAAUGUUGUGAUAAAAAAAAAAAAAGUACUCCUCUAGCAGAGGAUAUUUUAAGUGAAUAAUCUUAACUAACUUCCUGUGCAUAUGGAUAUUCAGAAGUAGAUGGAUUUUUAAGCGAUGAUUCCUUAAGGACUCAUAAUUGAUUAUUUAGCCACCCUGCAGAAAGGAUAUACUGCAUCUGUUCAAAACAGACCGAGAUUUCUCACCUUUGCGGGGUGAUGACAGGAUUUUCGUACUUUACCUGAGUAAAUCACAUAUAUGUCAUCAGUCUCUACAGCUGUCUCUUACAACUGGAAAUAUUUUUUGACUUAAUUUCUCUGAAAGACUUGCAAGACAGGAAAGAUUUCUUAAAGUGCUACAUAUUUGGUAGUUGUAUAGCAAUUAAUUGCUUUAAGAAAGUUAGCUAACUGUAAGAAUUUGUUACACUUCAAAAUCUUGGGAAUGCCUUACUUUAUUUCAUUAUUACUUAUGUUAUAAUUUCUAACUCCAAGUGAACAUUUGGUGAAUUUAUUUUUGAAUAGACUUCUCUAAAAUUGAAGAAAAAAACCUGAAAACAGAUUUCUUUUGGUUAGUUAAAUGUCAGUUGCUAAUGCAAAAGAUAAAAAUACUUUCAAAGCACUUUCAUGUGUAUUAUCCCAUUUGAUUAUGCUAACAUCCUACAAGGUGGGUUUUGUAGGUGUUACUUUGUUUUAAAGAUCAAGAGAUUGCUGCCUUAGAGAGUUUAAGGGACUUGCCCAAGGUCACACCUGACAAUUCUCUGCAUGCGUAAAUAUUGGGAAAAAAUUGCAAAGCACAUGAUGGCUAAAAGGCAAGUUUUCUUAAUGUAUAAAUAUAUCUUGCUAACAGAAUUACUAUGAAUAUGGAUGGUUAAUGUGGAUUGAUUGUUAUGUUUAAAAACUAGAGGCCCGUUGCAUAAAGAGAUUCGUGCAAUAGGCCUUCUCUUCCCCUGGCUGCCGGCACCGGUUUUCCUCCGGCACCCGGGACCCAGGCUUUGGUGGCUCCAGAUGGAGCCUUCAGUCUUCGCUCCGCUGCCACUUCGCCCCUAUGUAUGCAAAUUAACUGCCAUCUUUGUUGGGUUAAUUUGCAUACUCUCCUGAUUGGCCGGUGAGUGUAGCAGAGGGGUGGUUAAUUUACAUGUUUGUCUAUUAUUAGGUAAGAUUGGAACAGAUCUAUCAAUAGAGGAUUGGUUUGAUAUAAUCUGAUUAUCCAUUUUAUGUAAUAAUAUUUAUAAUAUAGCUAUUAAAAAUGAUUAUCCUAGUGUCUGUGAUUAGCUACUAAUUGAGACAGGUACCUUGCAAAGUAACGUAUAUAAUACAAUCCCAUUUUAUUGAAAAACAACAAGUCUUGAAUAUAUAUAUAUCCAUAUGUUUGUGAUGCGCCUGGGCGGAUAGCAUUGUUAACUGGAAUUGGCAAGUGAAGAAAGUACAAAGGGAUAGGAAUACAAUAUUAACUUUUCUCAAUUCAUUUUACAUUGUUUCACUCAUAAAAUGAGUAUGCAUUACUUGUAUAAUUUUCUAAAGUAUAAAAAUAAUAGUACUGGGGGAAGCAGUAACACCAAUACAUGAAUUAGACAAACCCAUGAACAUGUACUUCUCAAAAAAAGAUGUGCAUUGGCACUGAAUAUCAGAAGCUCACAUGUAAAGAAAUGCAAAUUAAAAUAGCUUUAAGAUGUGUUUGGUGUUUUUUUCCACCUAACAGAUUCAGCAAGUUUUAAACACUUUACAAAUGCCCAGAGUUAGGAGCAAGAACAUUCUUAUGCAUACUUAGAGGGAGUAUGCCUUGGGGCAAACUCUUUAGAAGGUGAUCAGAUGGUGUUUAUUAAAUUUAAAUACACAUUUAUAACCUGGAAAUUCCACUUGUAGGGUUUUACCCAGGAGAUCUACUCAAGAAUUUGUAACAUUGUUUAUAAUAGCAGAAUUUGAGGCAAAAGAAAAGUGAUUGAAUAAGUCACUGCACGCCCCCCCCCCAAACACACACACACACACACACACACACACACACACACACACUGGCAUACUAGCCAGCUGUAAUGAGGCAGAGCACCAAGAUAUUUUACGUUUUCAUGAAACACAGUAUAUAACAAUAUGUAUAGUAUUCUUUCAUUUGGUGGUUGUUUUAAUUUUGUCUAAUGACCAUGCACUAAGAAAUUUUGGAAGAGAUAUCAGUUAAUUAAUUGUUUUUACUCUGAGCUAUAAUAAUGGAAUCUGGAAUAUGAGGCAAUUCCUUUCCAUGACAUAAUCUUUUGUAUGUUUUCAAUUUUUUUCCUUAUGUAUAUUUUUAGAUUUUAAAAAUUAAUUUAGAAAAGCCAUUGCACAAAAGAGUUCCUUGAAUUAAAUAAAUUGAUCUUUAUAAGAAACUAAGAAAGGAAAAUUAAAAUUAUUUUUUUCUUAUAAUUGCUACUUAUGGUUAUUGGAGCAAAAACUAAAAACAGAACUCAUACUUUCCUUUAUCAUGGCCAUUCCUACCUCAGUCUUUCCCAUAUUCUUAAAUAGCACCAGUAACCACACAGCUGCUAAAGCCAAAAAAACCUAGAAAUCAUCUUUAAUUUCUGUCUUCCCUCAUCCCCAAAUCCAAUUCUUCCUGACAACUCUUACAUCCAGACAUAGCCUGAAUCCUCCCACAUCUGUCUGUCUCUACUGUUGUCCCCUGUUCAGACCACCACCUGUCUUUUGCCUGGAGACCAGUUUGCUAGCUGACUUCAGAGCGGCUCUCAUAUAAUCAUCUCUUCCCACAGUGUCCAGAGUGAACUUUUAAAUGUGCAAAUCAGAUCUUAUCGCCUCCUGUUUAAAACCUUUGUGUGACUUCCCAUUGCACUUAGAAUAAAUCCAAAUGCUUGCCCUGGCCUACAGGUCCUGUGUGACCUGCCCCCUAUCAGCUCUCCAGGGUUCCUGUCAUGGAGUCUCUUCACUGACUGUCCCUCUGUUUUCAUGCUUCGUAGAGUCAUGCCCACCUUAGGGCACUGGCAGAGCCACCCUAGGUCUUCACCGACAGGUGCUUCUUUCUUUGUCUUGCUGGUCUCAGCUUGAAGAUCUCCGCUUCAAUGAGAUCUCUCCGAGAAGCCCUUCUAAAGACGCUCUCCUAACUACGGCCAGACCAUCCUAUUGCACUUUCUUCUUAGCCCUUCAUAUUGCAAGAUAACUGCUGUGCUUCACGUUGGCGUUUUACUAUUAACUGAAGUAAGUAAUGUGCAUUUUGCCCAUGGGACCCAAGAGAGCAUUUUUCACUUGGAAUCAGGGGAGAAAUAGCUCACAAACAGGGUUAUUGUUCUGAAAUUGACAUUUAAGGAAAGAGAAGGCACUCAUCAAAGCUGUGAGAUUUAUUUUGUACCAAGAAAGCCCCGAUCCAUAAAACUCCGGAAUCCUCCUCCCAGCUCAUUGCAUGAUUUCACAGCAGUUCAUUUCCGACUAGAUGUGUGAGGCAAGUCUGGUCUGUCUUACUCCGGCAUAAUUUGUCCUAAGUUCAUCCCCUCCCCAUCAGUUCCAGAUCCCUCUGUCUCUCCCAGGUUCUCUUCACGAAUCACCAAAGCCUGUCCCCAGCUGGUGAGGACCAGCAGUCAUUGCCCACAGUGCUCUGAGCCUGCAGGUAGCGCUGCCCCUCCUGCAGCGGGGAGCCUGAACGCCAGUAGCAGGAAGCAAAGGAGGAAGCGUUUUUUCUCUCUUCCUUUUCCUAAAGGUAAAAUGAAUGUGGUUGGUAUUUGUCAUUUCAAAAUACUAUUUUGAUGUUUUCAUUUUUUUAGCUUUAUAAAUGUUCUCCAGCAAAUUAAAGUUACCACAAGCUACAACUUUUUAUGCGAGCACUUAUUUAUCCAAGUAUUUCCUUAAAGGUAAAAUAGGAAUGAUUGUGUGCUCUCAAGUUACUAUAUUUAUGUUUUCGUUUUACAGAGCUAACAGACAUUACAUAAUAAAGGUUUUUUAAAGCUACAGUUAUUCAUGUCUGUCGACACUCGUAUAUUUUCAAUAUGUCUGCUAGGAAAUAGGUAGUUUUACUGUCAAAGUUCCAUCAACCAUUUACUUAGUACAGGUGACCCUUGAACAACAUGGGGGUGAGGGAUGCCUAUCCCCACACACAGCUGAAAAUCCACGUGUAACUUUUGACUCUCAAAAAUUUAACUACUAAUAACAGACUGUUGACCGAAAGUCUUACCAAUCAUGUAAAUAGUUGAUUAACACAUAUUUUGUAUGUGUUAUAUACUGUAUUCUUCAAUAAAGUAAGCUAGAGAAAAAGUUAUUUAAAAAAUCAUAAGGAAAAGAAAAUACAUUUACAGUAUUUAUCGAAAAAAAAUCCUGGUAUAAGUGGACCCACACCAUUCAAACUCCUGUGGUUCAAAGGUCAACCGUAUUUUGAAAUACUUUUUAAUAUUAAUAUCAGCAUUAGGAGGCUACCAAAAGUUGAAACCAUGUGAGCUACCCAUUUUGAUUAUUCUUAUUUUGCAGAAGAUGAUAGUUCAGUUACAUUUUUCAGAUUUCUUCCCUAUAAUAUAAAGAAUCUAAUUACUAAAAAUACGUAAACAUGUAAGCAAAAUGAAAACAUAAAUACAUAUAAACUAUUUUAACCAGAAGUAAUAAAACUUGCUUAGAGUAUUUCCUGAAUUUAAAAGUAUAUAUAUGAAUUAUAGUUAUGUUUGAAAGGGAUUUUUGCUUCCAUAUAUAAAUGCAACAACCAACAAAUUAUGGCAUCCACUAUGCAAAAAUCUAUUUGAGAAGGUGAUGGUGGUAAAAGAAACAGAAUCGUACCUCUGCAAUUUGGAUGUAUUCUACAGCUAGGGAGAUGUGUUUAAGCAGGUAGAAAGUUAAGUAACAGAGGUGUCAACAGGCAGCAUGGAGCUCAUUACAGGCAGAUUACGCUUUGCAGUGCCUAUAUU